AAAAUAAAAUCUGAGAGAGAGAGAGAUUGAAGUAGCAGCAGCUGGGGAAGCCCACCUGGAAUCUGAAAUUACUUGAGGUCAUGGUGACUGCAGAGGGAAGCUGUCCUGAGUGAAGACUUCUGAUGAGGCCCUUUGUAAAGCUAGAAAGGAACCUAACACUGACCCAGAAGGAACAUUUCAGGUCUGCUGGCAGCCAUGUCUCAGGAAGCUGUCUUCAGCAAGGCAGAAGCAGGUUCUGCUUGGAUAUUUGGAAAUAAAGCAAAUAGUACAAAGACACCUUAAGUCUCCAGUGCUCGCUCAUCCAAAGGAAACUAAACUCGGAAGCGCUGCCCCUGGAA